rnacentral:rRNA from 1 species
CUCAACGGAUAAAAGGUACUCCGGGGAUAACAGGCUGAUACCGCCCAAGAGUUCAUAUCGACGGCGGUGUUUGGCACCUCGAUGUCGGCUCAUCACAUCCUGGGGCUGAAGUAGGUCCCAAGGGUAUGGCUGUUCGCCAUUUAAAGUGGUACGCGAGCUGGGUUUAGAACGUCGUGAGACAGUUCGGUCCCUAUCUGCCGUGGGCGCUGGAAGACUGAGGGGGGCUGCUCCUAGUACGAGAGGACCGGAGUGGACGCAUCACUGGUGUUCGGGUUGUCAUGCCAAUGGCACUGCCCGGUAGCUAAAUGCGGAAGAGAUAAGUGCUGAAAGCAUCUAAGCACGAAACUUGCCCCGAGAUGAGUCUUCCCUGAGACUUUAAGUCUCCUGAAGGAACGUUAAAGACGAUGACGUUGAUAGGCCGGGGGUGUAAGCGCAGCGAUGCGUUGAGCUAACCGGUACUAAUGAACCGUGAGGCUUAACCUUACAACGCCGAAGCUGUU